CUACCGCGCUCUGUCUCGUGUUGGUAUUGUGAGGAGGCGGAAGCACGGCGGAGAAAGGUGUGGCGACGCCGCAUCCUGCAUUCCUGCUCGGCCGGAGUCGGAGGGGGCGAUGGCUGCGGCGACGUUGCAUCCUGGUCGGCCAGAGUUGGUGGGGGCGGAGCUUCUCGAGACGGGGAGAGCGCCGAUGGUGGUGCUUUGACGCCGCAGCCGGCGCUAGCGGCGAUGGGUAGAGUUGCAGCUCGCGUCCUUCUCCGUCCAACGAGGAAGAGAUCGGCGAUUCGGGAGCACGGAUGGCAUGUGCGCCUCCGGCGAGAUGGGGGCUUUCUUGAACAUUCCUUCCGCUGAUUCGUUGCUGCAUUUCUGGAUGUUUUCCAGCAAGAGCAAACACAACAUCAGUCUGAAUCUUGAUCAGAUCUUCCCAAGAUAUUUGUUGUAGAAUAGUGUUCUUCCCAUGGAAAGGUAUAGCAUGUAUUAAUAUUUCAGUCAUUCUAAGUGUUCUAAGUCAUGUUCUUCAGGCAGGUUAUUUGUCAGUAUUUUAGUCUUCAUUUCUUUCAGUCAUAUUAUUUUUUCUCUAGUCAUUUGUCUAAUUCUUCAGUCCCUCACUCUCUUAGUUUUUCAGUAACUUAGUUUCUCAAUUAAGCCUCUUUGUUUUCAGUUUUCAGUCCCUCUUUGUUUAGUCCCUCGGUUUAUUUUCUAAAGUCUCCCAUCAAUUCACUCACUCAUUUUUCGGCAUUUCACUCAGUAACUUAGUUAUUCAGUUUCUUUUCUCUUCAGCCUCUCAGUGUAUGUCGUCAGUUUUCACUUUCUGAUGUUCAAUAUUUAUUACGUUCAUCAUUUUUUUAGUCCUUCAUUCCUCGGGUUUUCAUUGUCCGUUGUUCAGUCCAUCAUUUUUUUCUUCAUUCUUCGGUGUCUCAUUCUUCAGUCCUCACUCACUCUUGAGUCUCUAAGUCUCCAACAACUUACCAAUAACUCAUUUAUUAGUCCUCGACCUUCUUUCUCCGGGCCACACUUUCUUCAAUAUCUCAGUCUUUGGAGGCUCUUCACUAACUCUUAGUAUUUCUAUUUACUAUUAGUCUUUAUUUGCAUUAACUCUCAUUCUUCAGUCUUUGAUGUCUUUUUCUUCAGCCACUCUUCAAUGACCCUUUUUUCAUUUUUAGUCAAAAGUGAGAACAAGACAGAAGAUUUCAUAAUGGAUAUAAAGACACUUUUUCCAUAGACCAGAGGGGAGAUCAGAGAGUGGAUACUUUUCAGUUCUACAUGGAACAUCAAGGUGCAAAUGUUGCUUCAUAUAUGUCUUUUUUUAAUUUAGUCCAAGUGAUGCUAUUCAUUUAUUAAAUUACUAUUAUUCCCAUUAUCUUGUUUUUCUUUUUCAGUUAAAGUGUUCAUUUUCUUGCAUCCAUCAAGAUAGGCUAUCUUUCUUAAUCAUAAUUCUGGUUCUCUUUGGUUCUCUUUUUGAGAGCCUCUUAGAUGCUUCUUUGGAGUUUGUUUUGUUCACACUAUUGCUUCUCUCUUGGAUUUGUCUGAGGUCUUGCUUUGAGCUUGUGUGCCUGUUUUGGAAAUAAAGUGUUUUAUUACUGUGCUGACCCCCACAGCGGAUGGACGAAUGUGUUUUCGAGGCCUCACUCUCUUUAAUAUCCCAACAUGCAUUUCUUUUUAUUUUAGUAUCUCUUAUUUUCCAGAGACUUGGUUAUCAUUGUCUCAUUAAUCUUCCUUCAGUUUUGAUGAUUUUUCUCAAAAGAAAUCAGUUUGGCAUCUUCAGAUUUUUUUAAGACAACAUCAUGUUACUUAGCAACACACCUGCAGUAGCAACUUGGUCGGCAACGGAAAUUUCAGCAGCUCCCAAAACCACAACCACUACCAAACUUGGUAACUGUCACUUGGUUCAGCAAUCAUCAGUUUACUUUUCUGGAAGAAGUUUGUACAAACUCUCGUCCUGUAGUUUUUUUUUACACAAACAGUUAGUGUUUUUCUUCUCCCAGUUAUGUUGAUGAUGAGGAUGUAUGUGAAUACAAUGUGGCUAUAAUACUUUUGGCUCAAUCAUCAGCUACUAUAUGCUCAGUUUCUCCUAAAUGUGUCUUUUCCAUUUGUCGUCAAAAACAUCCUGCUGUCUUUCAAUCACAUCAUACCAAAAUUAAUGAAGCACAUGGCAGGGAAUUCAGAGGUAAAACCUUUGUUGGAAGAGAUUGGGCAUUCCCAGCGUCUGGAUCUCGAGCUUCCAUAGAGGAGCAGCCGCAUCUUUUCCCCGUCGGAGUGGUUGGAGGUCGCGAUCUCUUUUUCAUGUUGGACAAGAAGGUCGAACAGGGAACGUGUGUUCUGGAGGUGUUUGUGGGCUUACAUACAAUUCACGUUAUAUUUGUUGGGAUUGUCGUUUAAUUUCUUGGCCUUUCCCUGCCAUGGGCUUAUAGAAAGCUUUAGAACUCAACGGAUACUGAAAUUCAAAAUGUGGACUCAAAAGUGUACUGAAUAAAAAUAUGCCUGUUCCGUUGGCAGAAAACAGACAGUUUUUUCGGUUCUUUUUCGUUUAGCUUAUUGUUGUGUAAUCUUUUACAGGUGUCAUUGUUUGAUUGGGUAGAAAAAACUGUCUGUUCCUCAAUUGAAAAACAGCUAUCUGUUGUAUAGUCA